CGCUUAGGUAUAAUCGGUGAAAAGGGAAUACGGUGAAAAUCCGUAACGAUACCAGUCGCUGUAUGUGCCUUGUCUUAUUCAUAGACGAAAGUCGGUCAUUGGGAAACCGAGAAGGCGGAAUAAGGCUUAUAUGCAUAAGUCAGAAGACCUGCUUUGAU
rnacentral:ncRNA from 1 species